rnacentral:rRNA from 1 species
CCUACGGGUGGCAGCAGUGGGGAAUAUUGGGCAAUGGGCGCAAGCCUGACCCAGCGACGCCGCGUGAGGGAAGACGGUCUUCGGAUUGUAAACCUCUUUCAGCAGGGAAGACAAAAGGACGGUACCUGCAGAAGAAGCCACGGCUAACUACGUGCCAGCAGCCGCGGUAAUACGUAGGUGGCAAGCGUUAUCCGGAGUGACUGGGUGUAAAGAGUUGCGUAGGUGGCAUAAUAAGUAGCUAGUGAAAUCUGGUGGCUCAACCAUUCAGACUAUUAGCUAAACUGUUAAGCUCGAGACCGUUAGGGGUAACUGGAAUUUCUAGUGUAGGAGUGAAAUCCGUAGAUAUUAGAAGGAACACCAAUAGCGUAGGCAGGUUACUGGGACGGUUCUGACACUAAGGCACGAAAGCGUAGGGAGCAAACGGGAUUAGAUACCCGGGUAGUC